rnacentral:rRNA from 1 species
CGGCGGCCUGCUAGGCAUGCAAGUCGAACGGGAACAUGCGGGUAGCAAUAUUCGCAUGUUCUAGUGGCGAAAGGGUGCGUAACACGUAGCUUACCUACCUUGAAGUGGGGGACAGUCCCGCGGAAGCGGGGUUAAUACCGCAUGUGAUCGAGAGAUUAAAGCCGGGGAUUCGCAAGAACCUGGCGCUUCAAGAUGGGGCCGCGGCCUAUCAGGUAGUUGGCGGGGUAAUGGCCCACCAAGCCUAAGACGGGUAGCUGGUCUGAGAGGACGACCAGCCACACUGGAACUGAGACACGGUCCAGACACCUACGGGUGGCAGCAGCCGAGGAUUUUUCUCAAUGGGCGCAAGCCUGAAGGAGCGACGCCGCGUGGGGGAUGAAGGUCUUCGGAUUGUAAACCCCUGUCAUCUGGGAACAAUGGUUACGACCCAACACGUCGUGACUUGAUAGUACCGGAAGAGGAAGCCGUGGCUAACUCUGUGCCAGCAGCCGCGGUAAUACAGAGACGGCAAGCGUUGUUCGGAUUCAUUGGGCGUAAAGGGUCCGUAGGCGGUCGAGCAAGUCGGGUGUGAAAUCCCGCAGCCUAACUGCGGUAGGUCAUUCGAAACUGUUCGGCUCGAGGGCUGGAGAAGAGACUGGAAUUGUCGGUGUAGCGGUGAAAUGCGUAGAGAUCGACAAGAACACCGGUGGCGAAGGCGGGUCUCUGGACAGUACCUGACGCUGAGGGACGAAAGCUAGGGGAGCAAACGGGAUUAGAUACCCCGGUAGUCCUAGCCCUAAACGGUGCUCACUUGGGUGGUGGGGGGGGAGUCGACCCCCUCCGUGCCGUAGC